ACAGGAAGUACUGCCCUAGAAUGAAGCCCACUUCAAACAGAGUCUUGAAUAUUAUGUUGAAGAUGUAGGUCCUCAAUAAUGCCCCGCGUAUCCUGAUUUUUCCAUGUUCAUCACGAAUUGGGGGUUUCUCCUUUUUCCCUCCACCAUCACCAACUCCAUUGUGAUAGAGAGGAUCAUGGUCGUCCUGGUGUCGUCCGGCCUUUCUGAGCUCCUCUUCCCUCUCCCUCCUCUUCUCCUCCAUGCGGACAAUGUGUAGUACAUGGCCCAGGUAGAUGAGGGUUGGUGUGGAGACAAAGAUGAUCUGCAGCACCCAGAAACGGAUGUGGGAGAUGGGAAAUGCCUCGUCGUAGCAAACGUUCUCGCAACCGGGCUGCUGUGUGUUACAGUGUCAGUAUGGUCUGCCUUUUACCAAACUGAAAACCAGAAAAUGUCAUCAACAAUGUUGGCGUAUCAAAAGUUCUAUGAAAAGGAAAUACAGUGAAAAUCAUCAAAAGGUGAAGUCAGACUGCUCGUCCCCCCAGACGCUCUCCGCGGCAACAACCAGCACCAUGACCCGGAAAAUAAAAAGCACAGAGAGCCAGAUUUUACCCAGGCUGGUGGCAUGACGGUUCGCCCCGACCAACUGAGUGUACAGAGCGGGCCAAGACAUCCUGGGGGAAAGGACAGUGACAAGGGAAUGGGAAUGCUUGCACUACAGAACAGGGAUUCAUCAGCGCACUCUUUUGCAUUUCUUGUCAUUACAUGGCCGUGUUUAUCUGCUUCUUUUACAGCAUCUACACGUCUGACACAUGGACACCGAUUUCAGACAUUUACGAGGAAGUCAGUGGCAAAUGAUGAAAGCAGAGACCGGUACUGAACAAAAGACGAGUUUGAAAGAGGACGGGAUGAAAAGGAAUGAAAGUGAGAGGAGGAGGGGAGAAGGUCCACUGCCAGCAUUCAUGUGAACUGAUGAACCUCUCUGCCCACUGUGGACUGUACUGAACCGAGCCCACUCAUCUAAAAGCACACUGAAACACACUGUACAAGCACACUGCUGCGGUUCUCACUGAGCUUCACCGUUCACACUCGGUCACUGAUUGGUUCAUUCAUAUAUUUUAGAUGAUGUGUACUUGCACUAAAAGAACCUGGGAUAUAUUUCACAUGACAUGCUUAUUAAGAGGUUUGUUUCUAGCUGGAGAUGUUUUGUCGUGAAGUAAAAACAGAAAUUCUGAUAAAAACCUGAAGCGACUUUUACCACAAUAAAUUAAGAUUAACCUUUGUUUUGCU